AUGGCACCAGGUCAGUCAAAGUCCUCACCAUCAAUAACCCUCUUCCUACUCUCCCCUGACAAACUCAGCGCCAACAAGGCCACCCUGGGGUGCCUCAUCAAUGACUUCUACCUCAGCGGCUUGAUGGUGGCCUGGAAAACAGACAAUACCACUGUCACCCAGGGUGUGGAGACCACCAAGCCCUCCAAACAGAGCAACAAAAAGUAUGCAGCCAGCAGCUACUUGAGCCUGUCGCCUGACCAGUGGAAAUCCCACAGCAAAUUCACCUGCCAGUGGCAUUGCUUUGGCGGAGGGACCCGUGUGACCAUCGUUGGCCAGCCCAAGUCAGCACCAUCCGUCAUGCUGUUCCCACCCUCCCCUGAGGACCUCAGUGCCAACAAGGCCACCCUGGGGUGCCUCAUCAGUGACUUCUACCCCAGCGGCUUCACGGUGGCCUGGAAGGCAGGCAGCACCACUGUCACCCAAGGCGUGGAGACCACCAAGCCCUCCAAACAGAGCAACAAGUACGCAGCCAGCAGCUACCUGAGCCUGUCGCCUGACCAGUGGAAAUCUCGCAGGAGAUUCACCUGCCAGGUCACACAUGAGGGGAGCACCGUGGAGAAGAAUGUGGUCCCCGCAGAGUGCUCUUAGGUGCCUGAGACACCUUGCCUCCCACGUGGAUGUGCAGCCAUUAAACCUCCAGGAAGGAUUCCCCACACACCAAGAUCGUCCUAGGCCUU